rnacentral:rRNA from 1 species
UACGUAGGGUGCAAGCGUUAUUCGGAAUUACUGGGCGUAAAGCGUGCGCAGGCGGCUUUGCAAGUCAGAUGUGAAAUCCCCGGGCUUAACCUGGGAACUGCAUUUGUGACUGCAUGGCUGGAGUGCGGCAGAGGGGGAUGGAAUUCCGCGUGUAGCAGUGAAAUGCGUAGAUAUGCGGAGGAACACCGAUGGCGAAGGCAGUCCCCUGGGCCUGCACUGACGCUCAUGCACGAAAGCGUGGGGAGCAAACAGG